CAAUAAUAUAAAACAACAUUUUCUACUUUUCUGGUCUGACUUGUUGCUGGUGUCCUUGUUAGCACUUUAAAACAUAGACACCAACGACGGUGUUUACAUUCAAGGAGAAGAUAGCCUUGACACAACCAAUAUGGUAUACCUACAGUCAUGUCACAUCAAUUCUUUUUCAAUGAAA